UAACCCAAAAUUAUCUUGAAUAUUCAAAAUUUGUUAUACUAAAGCUAGAAAAUGAAAAACAUUGACUUUCGAUCAUGAUCAAUUAAAAAUAUAAACUGUUCAGUACAACCUUUCACGAUGUAAUAUGAAGAUAAACCAAACUGCUAUGAAGUCUCUUCGGAUCCAAGACGAAACCAACUCCUUCUAUUUCACUGGAACAAUGUUCUAAAUCUGGUAGAUACCCGCAUCACAAUACUUUUUCACUUUUCUUAUAAAGUUGAGGGUCAUUUUUGAAAAUUUUUUUUUUUUACCAUGAAGAUUAUUUAUACAGAUUGAUGUCUAUUUCAACAUAAUUUCACAAAUCUACACAUGCAGCUAAGUGAUGCAAGACGUAUCACCUUAACGAAGUUCCUUUCGAAGUGACUUUUGGAAACAUGGAACCUUUUGAUGAUUCUUACGAACAAAUAAGGCUAUUGUAUGAUACAAAUAGAAGUAAUUCUCUGGUAAAACUCAAAAUUCAAAUUAUUAUAUGUUCUAGUUACUAAUUUCUAAUUUAUAUGUCAUUGAAAUAUCAUCUUUGAUAUAGGAUUACCUAUUUUGAUUUCUUAUGUAAUUCUACCUUUAUACACUUAAAUAAAACCAUCUUAUAACUAUUUAAUUAUUACUAAGUGCUCUCCUAACUUUAGUUCUUUUUAUAAUUCUCAUUCUUCUCAACCUUCCAAUCAACGAUACCCCUCAAAAGUGGCAA
rnacentral:lncRNA from 1 species